rnacentral:lncRNA from 1 species
CUCUAUUAGCAGCCACCCUCUGAGCACUCUGCUCACCUCCUGCAUAGAAUGAGGAAUGCCUCUCAGACUACUGAGUUCUCUGUCUCUGCUGCGGGCCCUGAGAUAUCCCCUAGGAACUUUCCCCCAUUCUUUGUUUCCCUUUUCUAUCCCCCCUUUGCUCCCGAAUUUGGUUGGUCUCCUCAAUAUCCUACUCCACCAACAAAGCCCUCUUAACCAACUCAGAAUAAUCCCUUAUUGCCAGUGUGACUAAUCUGUUCCUAAUAGCUGGCCUCAACCUCUACUGGAACCUCUUAGCCUUUUCUCCUUCCUUACUGAUCAUCCCCAAAGCAAAACGAGACAACUAUGAGAAACAUGACUCAUACUCCAGCACCGACAUGGUUCCUUGGAUGAGGUACUCAAACUCCAUCCUCUUGGCAUGCUUAGCCACCUCCCCAAAAUACUUGCCUAGGAAGAUUCUCUCAAAUUCCUCCCAGGUCAUAACCUCAAUGUCAUACACCUUUUUCAUUGAUUCCCACCAGAAAUCAGCUUUUUCAACAAGCAUAUAUGCUGCCAAACCUACCCUUCUUUCCUCAGGUACGUCCAGUCCCACUAGAAUUCUUUUCAUCCUCCUCAACCAAUGCUAAGCUGCUUCAGCACUGGGCUCUCCAUUAAAAGAUGGAGGCUGCAUCACCAUGAACCUCUUCAUUGCUUCCAUUUGGCUCAUUGCUGGCCUUUCAGUGCGACUCCUCUUAUGUGAGUGGCCUGAAUCCUCAUGGCCCUAGGUACCUCCCGAUCUCCUAGAGUCCUGACCUCUCAUCGAUUGAACAGUCUCUCUCAACUCCCUUCUUACUUCUCGGAGUAGUUCUUCUCUUAGUUCUUCUCUUACCGACUCCAACUCCUCAUUUCUCUC